GGAGCUGUGGCAGGGGGUGGUGGCGGGCAGUCAGGCUCUCCCCCAUCCGUGUCUGGGUCGAGCUGCACGACCAUGAGGGCCUCCACCUGCUCCAGGGUCUCAGCCUGGAGUCUCCUACCCAGGUGUCUCUUUGCCCAGGUGGAGGCCACUUGAAAGGGGGCAGGCCAAUCACGUUUGGGCAAUGCAGAUAAUGUGUUAAACUCCUUAUCAAUGGAGUCAAUGUAGUGAUCCCUGAGAAUAAGGAUUGUUGUAUAUUCCCAGUUUUUGGCAUUGCUCUCAAUGAGGAGACGGGCCCCCUCACUGGGGCUGGCCGGUUUAAUUGUGGUGGCCAAAUUAGUUGUUAAUUUGUGGAUUGCUGGGGGGGGCUUGUCGGUCGAAACAUUUUUUAGGUGGUGGGCCAAUGUAAUGAUUUUUUUCAUUAUCCUGGCCUUAAUGCCAAAAUCAGGAUCAUCAGACUGUUGUCUGUUCCCAUUUCUGUUUCUCUCCCUCUUUCCACCCCGUGUGUUGCUUGUAUUCCUCCCUGUGUUGCCUGUGUUUCUCCCUGUUUCCCCUGUAUUUCUCCCUGUGUUAUCUGUGUUUCUCCCUUUGUUCCAUGUGUUUCUCCCUGUGUAUCCUGUAUUUCUCCCUGUGUUCCAUGUGUUUCUCCCUGUGUUUCCUGUAUUUCUCCCUGUGUUCCCUGUGUUUCUCCCUGUGUUUCCUGUAUUUCUCCCUGUGUUUCUCCCUGAAUUCCAUGUGUUUCUCCCUGUGUUCCAUGUGUUUCUCCCUGUGUUCCAUGUUGUGUUGUGUCUUGCAGGUUGGUUGUACGGGGCCCUGCGGCUUCCCGGAUUGUCAAAAAAUUGUGGCCUCUGGCCAUGCUCCGUGGAACGGUAGCGUUGUGGGUAGUCGUCCCUCCGUCCAUGUCCUCUGACAACAGAGGCAUAGCUGGGACGCUGCCCUGUGGCCUGGUAACGUUGGCGAGAGUGGUACUGGGCUGAGCGGGGUCUGGGCCUUUCCCCCCGGGGCUGCCUGUAGCGGUCACGCCGGUAGGAAACCACCGUCCAGUCCUCUUCCCUGUUCUCACCACGCAUUCUGGGCCGUUGUUGAGUGUGUGGGCCCCUUGCAAACCCAGAGGGUGUCUAUGGAGGAUUUGCAGGUGAUUUUUAGGUAGUUUUUUCUCUUUUUUAAGGUAAGUAUUAUAUUUUUUCCAGGUAGGUAUAAGGUGAGUAUUAGGUAGUUGUUUUUUCCUUUUCAGGUAAGUAUUGUGUUUUUUCAGGUAGAAAUUAUUAUGUUAUUAACCAUCAUUUCCCUUUUUGUGUUAUCCCUCAGUUUCCAAUUUACAUGUCCAUUUAUUUUUGUCAUGUCUCCUUUUUUCCUUUUCUCUCUUUAACUCCAAUUGAUGUGGCAGGGGUUAGGUGUGGCUUAGUUUAGCCUGGUAGGAGUUUAGGAGUAUUUGGGGUUAAGUAUGGGUGUCCUGGGGGGUGGUUAGGGUUAGGGAUUCAGUUCAGGUAGUGGUUAGGGUUAGAGGUUAAGGUCAGGGUCAGGGGUCAAUAAGAGGUAGGAGCCUCAGCUGCCUCCUCAUGUGCUCCGUUGCUUCCUUGCUCGUUAAAGAUUAUGGACAAAUAGAACAGUAAGAACUUGUAAAAUAAAAUAGUACAUCUCCAAUUAAUGGUUCAAAGGUCAACUCAUGGUGGGUGGCAGACCUUCUCAAAGAGCAGGAGGCGCUGGCCGGUUAGGAUAGAGAAAGUGGAUGAGUCUCGGCACCGCGCAGCGGUGUCGAGGCUCCAUGCACGGGCCAUCCUGCUCCAGAUCAGGAAAGCUCUUAUUUGAGGUUGAGGCCUUUGGGGUGUAAUGUUUCUAAUUUUCUUAUCCAUGUCCUUUCAGCUCGGGUUCUCUGUGUGGCGUUCCAGCUGGGGUCCAUCUGGAUGAUCGUGGCCCGGACAGACGACCAUCCAUGGGCCAGAAAAUGGCUGACCAGAGGCGUGUGGGUUUCCCUCCGCCUCUGGAUGUUGUAGCGGUGUUGGGUGAACCGCUAGCGAUUGCUGGCUUGGAAUAGGUGGUGACGAAGGGGAGUACAUCCGACGUGUCUACUGGUUUUGUUUCCAGAAAGGUGCUGAGGGCCUUCCGACGGAAGGAGCGUACAUAGCCCCUGGUGGCGAGAGCUCUGAAAAGCGUUUUAGUGGCCGCCAUGAAGUCGCUUUUGUGGGUGCAGAUACGGUGGAAACGGAGUAAUUGUGAUUUCAAUAGGCCCCUGUAUGUGUGUUUGGGGUGGUGGCUGGUUUUAUAAAGCAGGGCAUGGGUGUCUGUUUCUUUGAAGAAAACUUUAAUGUCUAAUUUGUUUGUAUGCUGGAAAUUGAUCCCCUUGUAGGUGGUGGUAUCCAGGAAGUCGACCGACGUGGUGCUAGUGGUGGACUUCAGUGUGAUGGACGGGUUGUGAUUAUUCAAGGCUGCCAGGGCGGAGGUCUCCCAUUCGGCCAUGAAGAUGUUGGCAUAUGCCGGUGCAAAUUUUUUGCCCAUGGCAGUGCCUUUAAUUUGUAAAUAAAAUUUGUUGUCAAAUUCAAAAUCAUUUCUCCUCAAGUUGAUUGCAAGGAGUUGUAAUAGUUCCUUAUCAGGUCUCUUUUUGUCUGGAAAUUUUGUAAAUAUGUUUUUUAUGGCCUGAAUGCCUUCAUCAAUAUCUAUAUUGGUGUAUAAACUGUCGACAUCCAUCGUGAACAGGAUGGAGUCGGGGGGGAUAUGGAG